rnacentral:rRNA from 1 species
UACGUAGGGUGCUAGCGUUGUUCGGAAUCAUUGGGCGUAAAGCGCGUGUAGGCUGUCAAUUAAGUCGGGUGUGAAAUCCCUGGGCUCAACCGAGGUAGUGCAUCCGAAACUAAUUGGCUAGAAGAUGGCAGAGGAAGGUGGAAUUCCUAGUGUAGAGGUGAAAUUCGUAGAUAUCGGGAGGAACACCAGUGGCGAAGGCGACUACCUGGCCUGUUUCUUGACGCUGAGGCGCGAAAGCUAGGGGAGCAAACGGG